rnacentral:rRNA from 1 species
GGGAAACUCACCAGGUCCAGACACAAUAAGGAUUGACAGAUUGAUAGCUCUUUCUUGAUCUUGUGGUUGGUGGUGCAUGGCCGUUCUUAGUUGGUGGAGUGAUUUGUCUGGUUAAUUCCGAUAACGAACGAGACCUUAACCUGCUAAAUAGACCAGCCGGCUUUGGCUAGCUGCUGUCUUCUUAGAGGGACUAUCAGCGUUUAGCUGAUGGAAGUUUGAGGCAAUAA